GACCUUAUAGCUCAAUGGUUGCUCGUCUGCCCGGUUAGCAGAAGGUUACGUGGUUCGAUUCCCGUUAAGGCCU
rnacentral:tRNA from 1 species